CGUGUCAGUGGUGGUUGGUCGCCAAAAGACGAAGACGUUCUUCCCAGUUGUUUGAGGAAGGAAAGAGAGGAAGGCUUCAAACAACUCUCUCACUAGUUAUUUUCAGAUCCUCAUUUUGCUCGUUGUAGCUUUGUCAAGUAUCUGUGUAAUUUCUCUCCCUGUUCGCUCCUCUCCCUGUAGGAUUUACAAACCCUCCACAACCUGUGGCUGCAACCCUUCUAAUCUAGUACACCUUGCGCGCACAACCCAUGUGUACUUCCUAUUCUCUUGCAGCCUUUGGAACUGCCCAUCUGUGGUCAAGAAGGCUGAGGUCAUCUCAGCCUAUGUCACCAUUAGUCCCUACACAUUUUGGCCCUGACAGAGAUAUGGAUUAACCCAGAUAAGACUACUACUCCAGCUGCUCUUUCGUCUUCUGACUGUUCUCUCAUAGUCCUACAGCAUCUGGUCGUGGCGUUGGGGGUACAGGGAUGGUCAUUUCUCCUAAGUUGAGAUGUUCUCUUCUCCCCCUCUCUCACCUGUCCAUCUCCUCAUUUGAAUUCCAUGCUGUCACUGUCAGUUGUCCACCCAAGCGUAAAAUUGUCAUCUAUCACCCACCAGAUCUAUCUGCUGCUUUCGACACAGUGAACCAUCAGAUCCUCCUCACCCUCUCAGGGCUCGGUGUCCAGGCUCUGCACACUCUUGGAAUGCAUCCUACCUGGCAGGUCGCUCUUACCUGGUGACGUGGCGAGGAUCUGUGUCUGCACCACGUGCUCUCACUACUUUUGUUCCCCAGGUGGCAAGACGCAUGUCUGGCAGCUAUCUCAGCUUGGAUGUUGGCCCACCACCUCAAGCUCAACCUCGACAAGACAGAGGUGCUCUUCCUCCCGGGAAGACCUGUCAGUUCAAAGACCUCUCCAUCACAGUCGACAAUGCCACGAUGUCCCCCUCCCAGAGUGCAAAGAAUCAUGGCACGAACCUGGACAAUACCCUGUUGUUCUCUGAAAAUAUCAGAGCAGUGACUCGCUCUUGCAGGUUCAUGUUCUACAAAAUCCAUCCAGUACAACAUUUCUAUUGCC